rnacentral:rRNA from 1 species
AAAUUGAAGAGUUUGAUCAUGGCUCAGAUUGAACGCUGGCGGCAGGCCUAACACAUGCAAGUCGAACGGUAACAGGAAGAAGCUUGCUUCUUUGCUGACGAGUGGCGGACGGGUGAGUAAUGUCUGGGAAACUGCCCGAUGGAGGGGGAUAACUACUGGAAACGGUAGCUAAUACCGCAUAACGUCGCAAGACCAAAGAGGGGGACCUUCGGGCCUCUUGCCAUCGGAUGUGCCCAGAUGGGAUUAGCUUGUUGGUGAGGUAACGGCUCACCAAGGCGACGAUCCCUAGCUGGUCUGAGAGGAUGACCAGCCACACUGGAACUGAGACACGGUCCAGACUCCUACGGGAGGCAGCAGUGGGGAAUAUUGCACAAUGGGCGCAAGCCUGAUGCAGCCAUGCCGCGUGUAUGAAGAAGGCCUUCGGGUUGUAAAGUACUUUCAGCGGGGAGGAAGGGAGUAAAGUUAAUACCUUUGCUCAUUGACGUUACCCGCAGAAGAAGCACCGGCUAACUCCGUGCCAGCAGCCGCGGUAAUACGGAGGGUGCAAGCGUUAAUCGGAAUUACUGGGCGUAAAGCGCACGCAGGCGGUUGAUUAAGUCAGAUGUGAAAUCCCCGGGCUCAACCUGGGAACUGCAUCUGAUACUGGUCAGCUUGAGUCUCGUAGAGGGGGGUAGAAUUCCAGGUGUAGCGG